CUUGUUACAAUCCGCUCGCUUACGAACGGACAACUCGUGGUUACGCUCGCGAGCAUCUUCGGAAAGCGUGAGACGAGAAACAAGCAAACGAGUGAAUAUAAACGUGCACGUUUUUCCAUUAAGCGAGGUUAUGUAACGCGAUUACAUCGAACCGCAUCGUUAACCCCUUAAUUUAUUAUUUUUUAGAAGAUGGAACGAUAUGAGAAAAGAAAUCGAUAAUCUUAUAAUCGUUGACAAGAUCGAUAGUAUGAUCGUUUGAUAGUAAUGAAGACGAUAUGAAAGAAUAGAAAUGGAUAAAAUUUUAACGUAAUUAAAGCCAAGGAAAACGUUAUCACUUCGUCAUUUCAAUCUCAUAUCAACAUCCGAAUACGAUAACUUCUGAAACUAUCCUGUUAAUACUACCCCAGAUACCAUUUCACCAAAUUGAAUCCAGCACCGCAAAACGCUGAGAUCUAUAACAGAAAUCCUAACAACCGUUAGGCGAGAAUCAUGGAAUUAUGUUAAUUUUCCACGGCAUGUCUCGCGACUGAUAUUCAGCCGGCGUGGCCCGUUACGACAUAGAGGAGAAGCAAAUUAGAAGGAGGAGGAUUAGAAGGCCGUCGUCCAAGCGAAGAUCCAGUGGAAGCAUCCAGUCGGGUACGAAUAUCUGGUGGUCCAUUCAAGGGUGCAUAACAUACAGGGCGGCGAGUGAAUUUGCCCGUUUCGCCGCAACAACGGACGAUGCUCGGCUUGUAAACGAUGCAUGACAACCGUUGUUGCAUCCGUUAGUCGAAGAGUAUUCGAGUCCUUCCUGUUCUCACCACCCCCUUCGCGGUUCUAUCUUCUCCUAUUCGAUCAUACGUAUAUAGAGGCUGGAUAGGAUGGGUUGGCUAGAAUGGUUUGGGGCAUCAUAGAACAAGGAUUCGCGAGGAAGAGAUGGACGGGAGAAAGAGAGAUGGAUAUAGGAGAAGGAGGUGGAGGAGCAGCAGCCGAAUUCCUAGCAUACCGCGGGGCCAACUGGUUAGCAAGCGAUUUACGAUAUUGUAAACCGAUGCGACGGCGGCGGCCGUGCCCACCGCCGAACCUCAAUCUAAUAGUGGCGACUUCGACCUCCAAUGCCAAAGGCACGUCGCCCCCGAACCGGUAACAUUGUUCGCCCCGCUUUUACUUCCGCCAUACGGUACAAACCUGGAUGGACUCUCUCGAUGCGACGAGUUUCUCAUUCUUAUGGUGAAUGGUUUGGAAAAUGAUGUCUAGGAGAAAGUGUUUGUAUUUGUGUGUAAAUGAUUUUUUAGAUUUGUUGCAAUGGAAAAUUUGUUUGACAGAGAUGAAUUUUGGUAAGUAUCAAGAAAGAUAGUAGAAAAUUUUUUUUGAUAAAGAAUAUUGUUUGUUUUAGACUAAUAAUAAGAAUAGAGAUUCGAAAAUAACUUUGAUUUUGGGUUAAUGAAUUUGUCAUUUUGAUGAAUCUGGGAAAAUGAUGUCUAAGAGAAAAUAUUUUCCAUUUGUAAUAAAUGAUUUU